UUUUUUUGGGUGUUUCAGUUUAUUGUGUUUUUAAGGGUUUUGGGAUCUUUAUGAUGUUGCUUUUGAGGCAAAUCCUUAUUUGUGUGACAAGAAGUCAUGUAAGUUUGGUAGGUGUUCUGUAGAGUUAUUAAGAGGCAGGAGGUCUUCUGUCUUCCAAAGGAAAAGGAGUAACUUUUUCUAUGAAGACUUUCUAUUGAUAACUCCAUUGUGAUUGUGUCUUGAAUUACA